CAUGUCCUUUUGAAAAAAAUUUAAGGUCUAAUCUGCUCAAUGAUAUUUAAAUAGCCGCAGUAUUUUGACUGUGCAAAGGUAGCAUAAUAAUUAGUUUCUUAAUUAGAAACUGGAAUGAAUGAUUGGACAAGAAAAUUUCUGUCUCUUUUUUAAUUUUAUUGAAUUUUAUUUUUAAGUGAAAAAGCUUAAAUUUUUAUAAAAGACGAGAAGACCCUAUAGAGUUUAAUAUGUAACUUUAAUAAAGAUUUAGAAUAUUUUUUUAUUUUUAUUUAUUUAGUUGGGGUGUCUAAAAGAUUAAAAUAAUUCUUUUAAAAUUAAAUUGAUUAUAAUCAAAUUCUAAAUCUAUAAUUAAUAAAUUUAAAAUAAAUUACCUUAGGGAUAACAGCGUAAUUUUUCUUUAAAGAUCUUAUUGUAAGAAAAGUUUGCGACCUCGAUGUUGGAUUAAAAUUAAUUUUUGGUGCAAUAACUUAAAAAUUAGGUCUGUUCGACCUUUAAAAUUUUACAUGAUCUGAGUUUAGACCGGUGUAAGCCAGGUCGGAUUCUAUCUUUAGAAAAUUUUUAUAUUUUAGUACGAAAGGACCAAAUAUAAAUUAAAUUAAUUG
rnacentral:rRNA from 1 species